GAAGAGGGUUGACCUCUGUGUUUUCAAGUCCGCCGUCAAAUCCCAGGGCUCAACCCUGGACAGGUGGUGGAAACUACCAAGCUGGAGUACGGUAGGGGCAGAGGGAAUUUCCGGUGGAGCGGUGAAAUGCAUUGAGAUCGGAAAGAACACCAAUGGUGAAAGCACUUUGCUGGGCCGACACUGACACUGAGAGACGAAAGCUAGGGGAGCAAAUGGGAUUAGAGACCCCAGUAGUCCUAGCCAUAAACGAUGGAUACUAGGUGUUGUGCGACUCGACCCGUGCAGUGUUGUGCUUUUCGAGGUCCGGAUUUC
rnacentral:ncRNA from 1 species